rnacentral:misc_RNA from 1 species
GAUGAAGAACGCAGUGAAAUGCGAUAAGUAAUGUGAAUUGCAGAAUUCAGUGAAUCAUCGAAUCUUUGAACGCACAUUGCGCCCCUUGGUAUUCCAUGGGGCAUGCCUGUUCGAGCGUCAUUUGUACCUUCAAGCUCUGCUUGGUGUUGGGUGUUUGUCUCGCCUUGCGCGUAGACUCGCCUUAAAACAAUUGGCAGCCGGCGUAUUGAUUUCGGAGCGCAGUACAUCUCGCGCUUUGCACUCAUAACGACGACGUCCAAAAGUACUUUUUACACUCUUGACCUCGGAUCAGGUAGGGAUACCCGCUGAACUUAAGCAUAUCAAUAAGCGGAGGA